rnacentral:tRNA from 1 species
GGCCCGUUGGUCUAGCCAGGUAAGGACGUCCGGUUCUCAGCCGGAAGGACGUCGGUUCGAAUCCGACACGGGCUACAA